CUGAUGGCGACCGGCGUACGGGUGAGUAACGCGUAUCCAACCUGCCCUUUACUAUGGGACAGCCCGUCGAAAGGCGGAUUAAUACCGUAUGUUGUCAUGUUGAUGCAUAUUUUCAUGACCAAAGGCUUCGGCCGGUAAAGGAUGGGGAUGCGUCUGAUUAGCUGCCGGCGGGGUAACGGCCCACCGGGGCGACGAUCAGUAGGGGUUCUGAGAGGAAGGUCCCCCACAUUGGAACUGAGACACGGUCCAAACUCCUACGGGAGGCAGCAG
rnacentral:rRNA from 1 species